rnacentral:lncRNA from 1 species
GGGAAGGAGGCGACAGGAAGCGAGGCCCGACUCGCGCAGGGGCGAACAGGCCGCAAGUUUGGGAGUGGGUCUCGGUUCCUGCGAGAUGCUCCACGCCGCUUUGUCCCUGAGCGUGGAGAAGUUCCCCCAAAGGCGACGGGGGAAAACCCAGGAGCCGUCUGGCGGUUCCCUCCCUGGAUUUCGGGGCAACGCCCAUUAUGGGGAAACCCUUCCGCAGCCACCACCCCUCUGACCACUGCUGCAGGCUCGCCCUAAAAUGCAUCACUCACUCUGAACAGCCCAGCGAAGUUCUAGGUCUCUCCACAAGACUGACCAAACAUUCUUCCCCUUUUUGACGGUUUACUUUGCUGGAGCCUUAAAAUAUUUAGUCUCCCAGUUGGGUAACAACGGAGAAAAAAAAGGGUAUUUCAAGGGCUCGCUCACCCGGUGGCCUUGGAUGUGGGGGGCCGGUGAACUCAGACUCGGAUGUUCACCAGUGGCUGUCUGCAUGCAUGUUUCUGCCGGCAGCCAAAGGGUUGAGAUGUCAAAUUCACUAAGAAUUCAAAGCUCUUUGUCAACUGGGUCGAUUUUCAGCCCUCAAUAAAUUAUUGCCAUAUUUCUAGGCUGGGCACUCACAAACAGUCCCCAGGACCGGACAAAUAAACUCAAUGAGCGUUCUAAUGAGAUGACCACCUCUGAUACUGCUAAGCGCUCUUCCAUUUAUUUGUUAGUAGUAGCAACUGGAGCGAGACGAAGUGGAAUAGUACACAAUAGUUAAAAGGACUGUUAGAUCUAUUUGUACCCCCACAGGAAAAGGAAAACAAAAACAUGUAGCGUAAGACAGCAAGCUGCAGGAGACAGUAUCAUGCACAGUUUGCGUGUCUUUUUAAGCCCCACUCUUGACUGACUUCCUGAGGAGACAUGAACAAAUGCCUAUUCACCCAAAAUAGGGCGCCGACAACAGAUCAAAAACAUCCAAGCCCAGCUUGGUGAACCAAUGGGUUUAUUGGGCUUACUCAUCUCCAGCAUGGACAGUGACCUGCCAGAAGGAGUGUCUCCUUCGUUUACCCACCCCUUUAUAUUCUCUAGCAUCUCCCGGGGCCAGGUGCUGUUGGAGGUCUGCACAGGAGGAGAGGCGGGAGCAACUGUAAUCUCAGGUGAGGGUCUAAUGACUCUCCCCAUUUCUUCCCUAGAGGGUGGAUAAUAGCCUCUCUCCAGUAAGGGACGGGUGCAGAGGCAAGCACAGAUGCUCUGAUUUCAAGAGGGACAUGUUCUAUGACCUCCACACGGUGUAUGCUUAUGGACACAAGCUUGUGCGAACGUCAAAGAGAAUCGGUUCAUGUUAGAUGCAUGAUGGUCUGACAUCAAGACGGAAGUAGGCAGCUAGAGGGGUAGCUCAGAGGUAGAGGACUUGCCUACCAGGUAGGAGGUAACGGUAAGGAAACCGGCUGGAUAGCCUGGCGUGGUGGCGCACGCCUUUAAUCCCAGCACUCGGGAGGCAGAGGCAGGCGGAUUUCUGAGUUCGAGGCCAGCCUGGUCUAGAGUGAGUUCCAGGACAGCCAGGGCCAUACAGAGAAACCCUGUCUUGAACCCCUCCCCCCCAAAAAAGGAAGCGGGCUGGAGAGAUGGCUCCGUAGUUAAGAGCACCCACCAGCUGCUCUUGCAAAGGAUCUAGGUUCGAUUCCCAGUAUCCACAUGAUGGGUCACAACCUCUGGAACCCCAGUUCCAGGGGAUCUGACGCCCUCUUCUGGCCUUCUCAGGCAGAGCAUGCAUGUGGUUCGCAGACAUGCAUUGAGGAAAAACACCCAUACACAUGGAAUAAAAAUAAAGGAAGGUGGGUCGGGCACUUUUAACCCCAGUAUUUGGGAGGCAUGGGGCAGGAGGAUCUCCAUGAGUUCAAGGUGGUAGGAAGUUCCAGGUCUAUAUAGACCCUGCUUCCAAAAAGACAAAACAAUAAUGAUAGAUGAGUAAAGGAAGGAAUUGAGGGCAGAGAAUGGGACAGGGAGUAUAGGAAGAUGACAUAGCUGUUUUAUUUCCUCUAUAAAUGGUUGUAAAAUAGAUUGCAAAAAUAGUUGAUGCUGAAUAGUGGGUACAUAGUUCUGUAUUUUUCUGUAUUGUAGACCCCUCCCCAACCCCAAAUUUAUAGUAGGUUAAGUAGGCAGGGCGGGGCUUUGGGGGUCAUGAGUGACAGGGUGUUAGAACCUAGUGGGGAAACCCCCACUCAACUCCCGAUUCGGCGUGCACCCAAAAAAAUCAGGAAGGACCAUCUCUUGAUGUAAUUACAUGAGAACGUUUAAUGACGGAGCUCUGGACGACAUGCAUCUCACACAGGAGAUAACGGAUGUCGGCCACAAGGCUCGACAGCUAGGGGUUUUUAUGGGGUAAGGGGCUUAGGGGUGUGGAAUUCAGCAUAGCGACACAUUAUUGGCUUAUUCAAACAUUAACAGAAAUAUUACAGGGCAUCAGGACUUUGUUCCUGUGGGCUGGGGGCUUAUCUUGUUCACAUAGCAACCAGUUGAUGUAUGACUUUACCCCGCGUCAAGGGGCAGUAGACAGAGGGGAGGUUCCUGGCCAGGUGGUGUUGACCCAGACAAGAUAGCCCUGCUUGUACAAUCAAGCUGUUCUUAGGAAUGUCUUAACAACAGCCCUGUCUGUUCUGUUUUGUUUUCAGCCCCAGGCCUAGGCUCAUAGACAACUCUUUUACAUGAAUCACAAGAUACAAAGUCUCAUUUUCUUUCAAGGGCACUUGUUGGCCACAUUUCAGGCUCCACCCUGUGCUCUCAACAGAGAGAACCCAGGCGACCUUGCCAUUAGCAGCCACAGACAAUAGUGAAUAGAUGGAUGUAGCAGUGUCCCAAUAAAACUUUAUUUAUAAACACCACAGGGUGAUUUUCAUACAAUUGUCCAGUGUGUUGCCAUUUAGGAGGGCACUCCAUGAAGCAGUUUCUCUGAGGUCAUCAUCCAUAAUGGGGGAGGGGCACUUUGAAGUGAUGAAGCUAUUCAGAGGUCAUUCAUGUUCCUCUAAGGAAAUCCAAUAAACUCAUUGGUUCAGGCCAUUUAAAAAAAAAAAGGAUGGGUUUUGGGGGUUGGGCAACUGCUUUCCUAAGGUAACUAAGAGAUCCUGGUUUUCUUUCCUGUUAAAACCUAUAAUUUCGGGCUGGUGAGAUGGCUCAGUGGGUAAGAGCACCCAACUGCUCUUCCGAAGGUCUGGAGUUCAAAUCCCAGCAACCACAUGGUGGCUCACAACCAUCUGUAAUGAGAUCUGGCACCCUCUUCUGGAGUGUCUGAAGACAGCUACAGUGUACCUACAUAUAAUAAAUAAAUAAAUCUUUAAAAAAAAAACCUAUAAUUUCAGGCCUGGCGUGGUGGCGCACGCCUUUAAUCCCCCAGGAGGCAGAGGCAGGUGGAUUUCUGAGUUCCAGGCCAGCCUGGUCUACAAAGUGAGUUCCAGGAGAGCCAGAGCUAUACAGAGAUAUCCUGUCUCAAAAAAACAAACAAACAAAAAAAAAACACCUAUUAUUUCCUUGUUAAAAUUUAUAAUUCUAUAUGAGUAUGUCCUGUUAUACUAAAUUGCCCACGGUUUUAUUAUAACACUGUAGAUAACAGGCAGAAACCCAGUGUAAAGUUAAAAGCUAACGAAACGUUUAAAAUGCUGGAAAGAUGACUGGACAGUGACAAGUAGUCAGAGGACCCGGGUUCGGUUCUGAGUACCCACAUGAUAGUUCAUAACCACCCGCCAUUCUAGAUAGGAGAUUUGACUCCCUCUUCUGACCUCUGUGAGCUCUUGGAUUAUUUGAUGGUCAGCCAACUUUUUUGUCUUGAUUCUUUCUUUCUUCACUCAAGUUGUUCUGUGGUGGUGGUGGGGAAUCAAACCAAGGGCCUUGCAUUUGCUAGAUAAACAUUUCCGGGCUAAGCUAAAGGAGCCGAGUCUGACUCGCGAGUGGGUUUUGCUUUAGGGAUGAACUGUAAAUUCCUGGGGUCUGGACAGCACCACACCCAAGACAUUUGCAUAACUCAGCAUAAAGGUGGAAAGGCAAUGACUCUGGGCUGAGAUGGACUUGCUUCCAGUCCCUCGAACCCACUAAUUACGUGUAAUUAAUUACGUGUAAUUACGUGUAAUCUGCAAGCUUGGGCCAUCUCUCGAAGUUUGGCUUCAUCAGCUAUCAGAUACGGAUAAUAACAUGACGAAGCUCAUAGACUUGCCCCAUGGAUUCAACAGGAGGAUGUGUGUGUGAAGACAUUAGCUCAGUGCCUAGUCCCCAACAGCUCACUGAAGCUAACUCCCGAUAUACUUAGCACGGUGCUAAAAAAUCCCAUCAAUUUAUGUGCCUUUCUUAUUAAAGCAAAUUAGAACAAAGUGCAGAACACUAUAAUUGCCUGUCACUGCCAUUCAGCUCCUCUUGUGCUAGGAGCCAUCCCACACAAACCAAUUCCUUCUCAGAGAUACGCAAACAAGAGUUAGCAUUGCAUUUUCAACUCCCCCCACCCCCUUCCAAGAUCACCAGAAAAUCCUAUUCUAGGCAAACGGAUCUUGUUGUCCUGACAACACAGAUGGCCAGGAAAAUAAGUAAACAUGACAUCUGAGUCUUUUUUUUUUUUUUUUUUUAAGGAAAACUUAAACCCUGUGGAGGAGGCAAGGCGUAGAAAUCUAAGACUUUAUCAUUUUCUCCCCCACGUGGAUGGCCUCGCAACAUCUGUCCUUCCAAGGCUUUGCCCCGCCUUCCUGAGCUAGCCUGCCUGCCACUCAUGUUGUUCCCGGGAAUGUUCUGUUGCAUAGGCUCGAGUAUCUAGAACAAAAGAAUGGGGUUCAUAUCACCGAUGAACUUGAUUCAGCGGGUUCUUUCUCUUCAACAGAGCAGCAGCUAAAAAGAGGCCUUGAGAAGCUACCUUGUACGGCAGCGAGAUGAAUAGCUUUCUAAGUCCUCAAUACAAGCAGCAUCGUAAAAGGUGUCAGGGUUUGCGAGAGGGCUCUUCAUCUGUCUCUGCAAACAUUUGCAAAAAGAAAAACAUCAGGACACGACUGACUACUCAAAACAAGUAGGAAAAGUCCAGGCAUACAGGUGAAGACAAAGAUGGCCUGCAGAGAGAGGAAGGCUUUCAUGCCAGGGACUGAAUCGUUUUUUUUCUGGUCCUUACCACUGACAGGGAUGGCUCAGGCCACGAGGUCAGGGCUCAGUUUCAUCAUUGGUAAAAGGAGGAGAGCACCAUGCGUAAAGAUGAUGUGUAAGUUCUUAGUGGUGUCUAGUACAUGAUGAAUGGUCUUAUUACUCAACAAUAGGUAAGUGCUCACAAAAACAUUCCAGGACCUUUCUAAACAGUGGGAUCUGGGUAAUGCUGAAAACAUCAGGAUCCCAAGUCUACAACCUGCUAGUAGACCUCGGGGCAAGGAACUUCACCGCUCUCUGUCCCAGGGCCAUCUGUUAAACCGAAUUAAUGCUAUUGCCUAGUCUUUAAGACUGUUCUCAAGAUGAAAUAUAGGGUUGGUUUAAAAACAAUUUUUUUUUAAUUCAUGUGUCUGUGUCACAUGUGUACAGGGGCCUAAAGGACAGCCUUGUCUCUCCUGGAGCUAGAUAGUUAAAUGCUAUGUAGUUAAAUGCAAUUGUGAGCUGCCCAAUGUGGGGGUGCCGGGAAGUGAACUUGAGUUCUCUGGAAGUGCAAGUGCCCUUGACCACAGAGCCACCCCUCUAACCCCAGAAAUGUGGCUAUUUGAGUAAAGAACUUUCAACAGCCCAUUCUGUAAAUUUUAACUAUCUGCACCCAGGUCAGGAAGCAUGCCAGGAGAUCUCUCUCUGAGGAUAAUUUCUGAAUGCCAUGAGAUCUCUGAGGAUAAUUUGUGAAUGCCAGGAGAUCUCUGAGGAUAAUUUGUGAAUGCCAGGAGAUCUCUGAGGAUAAUUUGUGAAUGCCAGGAGAUCUCUGAGGAUAAUUUCUGAAGGCCGCUGGGAUAGACCCAAAUGUUUGAUGACUUUAUAGCUUCCUAUUCCUUUCUCACCAGACCAGUCAGCUAUCACCCAGAUAGUUGUGUCUGGGGUUACUCUUGAUAUUUCUACUUUCCAUUCCUUGGUGCUGUCAAGCAAGGUGUAUCAGAACUGACUGGAAUUUGUAGGGCCACAUGAAAAAUAAAAAUGAGAGGUUUCUGGCAUAUAAUUUUCUGAGUGAGGUGCGUAAGGAUCGGGGCUUAAUCUCCAGCAUCCCGGCUGGCCUAGAACUUACUGUGAGGACCAGACAGCGCUGGGGUUUAAUGUUGGUGCACAUGAAUGGUAACAAGGACUGGUGGUGUGUGAGAUGCUGGGUAACCUAGCACUGUCUCCUCCCCUCCCCCCGCUCCCCCUCCCCCCCCCAAAGCAGGUAUCAGCCAGCUGCAGUGACACAGACCUGUUUACAGAGGACUCCAGGGAGAUUGAGGUAGGAAGAUCGAAGUUUGAGGUCAGCCUGGGCUACAGUGUCUAAAAAGAAACAAAACAUGAAGGAAAGUAAAUUCACUAUAGAGUUUCCUGCUGGAAGAAUUAAAAAAAAAAAAAAGUAUACAGUCAUUAUUGUGAUUCCAUCUCUACAAAUACAGCUUCCACAGAAAUUAAAGGAAAGAUUUUUAAACAUC